AAACUUUCAGCAACGGAUCUCUUGGCUCAGGCAUCGAUGAAGAACGCAGCGAAAUGCGAUAAGUAAUGUGAAUUGCAGAAUCCAGUGAAUCAUCGAAUCUUUGAAUGCAACUUGCGCCCUCUGGUAUUCCGGAGGGCAUGCCUGUUUGAGUGUCGUGA
rnacentral:rRNA from 1 species